UAAUUUCUAUAAUUCCGGUUGUAGGUGUUUUUUAUUGGUUAUUUCAAUAUUCCUCUUUCUUGCUGUUCCCCCAAAAUGUGAAACCUAGGAUAAGUAUUAGCUCACCUGUCCAAUCUUCACCUCAAUGCAACGGUCAUAUCUUAUUAUAAAUUUAUAAUAAGAUACAACUUUGUUGCGUUGAGGUGACGACAUAGUGACAAGAUGAGCUUUUGUGAUCACCCUUCGUCCGAGGUCCUUUGGAUAGGGAACUCUGCAAUUGCAGAGCCAUUCUUAGGUGCCCUUUUCUCUUUCAGCUAGAUAGGGAACUAAAUUGUGUAGAUAGGGAAGAUCUCUCAAGUAUAAGGUUAUGUAAGUAUGCAGGCGGAUAAUGCCUCUCCUGUGGAAAGGCAUUUGAAGCCUGCUAAAAAAUAAUAUAACUGGUCUUUAGAAUCAAAUGGGUGGUGUCAAGAGCAGUAAGUAAUUGCAAGUUGUGAAAGAGGAUUAGGACAUUACAUCGGACAGGCUCACAUUUCGGCGGACAGUGAAAAUUGUUUAAGCUAAAUCUCUUAAGGUACUGGGUGUUUAAUUCUUUUUGUGAAUGAAAAUUGAGUUAUGUCUAUUGCAACCGGAAUUACAGAGAUAAUGUUUUUAUGCCAAUAUUUUUAUGUUUGUGUCAUAUAGCUUUUUGUUUUCUCUUUUUAGAGGGAUCUGCAAUUGGGAGAGCUGAUUGUUUUUAUUCAGUGGUGGGGCAUCCGAUGAUUUAUUUUCAGACGAAGCUGUGAAUCAGAUUAGUCUGUGUUUUAAUUAUGAUAUUUUUACACAUUUUUGUAAAUUUUACCAUGUUUUUGUGUUACUGUUUUUUAGGUUGCAUGUUAACUGCAACAGACUACUAACACAGGUGUUGGAUGCCACAGCUAACACUGCUCUAAUGGUAGUAGACACUUACUUUUUACACAGAAAGCUUCAAGUUUGGAAAGCUGAUGGUUGGUAUAUGUGUGUUUUCACUUUUAUGUAUUAAAUGUUUUAAUAUCUGUUUUAAAAUAUGAAUACAUCAGUAUUCCAUUUUUGUGUUUUUAUGUAUGCUGCGAUAGUCUUUAAUUUUAUCUUUUUACACAGAAAGCUUGGUGCUUCUGAGGGAUCUACCUUCCAGAUUAUGUUUACAUUAGCAAGCUGAUGGUUUGUGUGUGUCUUCUUUUUUUACAGGUAUGUAUAAUGUAAUAUUUUAACAUACGUUUUAUAAUAUGUAAAGAUAGCAUUUUUUUUGGUGUUUUUUAUUUUUGUUUUAUGUAUGCUGUCGUAUAAUAUAUAUAUUUUUUUGUCUUUUUUUUUUUUUUUUACAUAGAAAGCAUGAAAUGGGCAUGCAGAUGAUCAGUAUUUGUGUACUUGCUGUCUUACUAGUAUGUAUAUUUUGAUGUUGUUUUUUUUUUUAUAAAUAUACAUAGAUGUAUAAAUACCAUAUAUACAUUUUAAUUUUUAAGUGUUUUUUACUUUAUCUGUGAUGUAGUUGUGUGCAUAGGUUGCAUUGUGUGAACGAGGGCAGGACGCGCUUUUUUUUGGUUUGCUGUGGUUUAUGUCUGUAUAAUUCAGGUUUAAGGGUAUGUUUUUGUUUUUGGGUAGGGAACUCUGCACUGACGGAAGAAUUCUUAGAUACCUUUCUCUUUCAGCUAGAUAUCGAACUAAAUGGCUUAGAUAGGCUUCAGACAGGCAAGGUGAUGGUUUGUACUUCUGUUUUACAGGUAUGUAUAUUUUGUUGUUUUAACAUGUUUUAUAAUAUGAAUUGAAUGUAUAAAUACCAUUUUUGUUUUUUAUUUUAGUUUUAUGUAUGCUGUUACAAUUUUUUAUUUUGUCUUUUUACACAAAGCUUCAACUUGAUGUAUGUGUGUGUUCGGGUGUUUUCAACAAUUUCAGUCAUAUAAACGACGAAGUGAAGUUCAGGCAUACAUGACAUUGGACUAUUCUGGCUCAGAAGAACCUGGGGCACUUGUCACCAAUCCCAGAAGGAGCAAUUACUAGAGGUUGCGAAGGAUGAAGUUGAGGGUGAUGAGGAUGAUGAUAGUUCAAGAGCGAAAUAGUGGUUGACAUUAUGAUAUAGAGAAUGGAGCAAAAGCAGAUUGUAUACUGGUCAGAAUGAAGAUGACUUGAGAUGUUGAAGAAAAGUCCAGCUGCAAACUGUCAAGACAUACAGUAAGGAUGUGGAUCUGUGGUAACUAAAGGUAAUGUCUCUGUGCGUUCACAGAGAGAAAUCAUUCAUUCAAAGUGAUACUGUAGAAAGAGAAAAAUGUUGAAUAACUUAAAAAAUCAGUUUCUUGGUUAAAAUCUUUGUUUAGGUCCACCUUGU